rnacentral:tRNA from 1 species
AUUUAAAUAAUUUAAUAAAAAUAUUGAUUUGUGGAAUCAAAAAUAUGAUAAGAAAUCAUUUUAAAUU